AUGCAUUAUAGUCUUGUUUCAUGCACGUAUGAUAUAUAUAAUUUUUCAUAAGAACCAGAUUCAUUCACUAAGGAUCUAGUGGGUUGAACGCCUAAGAACAUAAUAAUUAUAAGGAAAGAACUCAUAUGGGUUCACAUGUAUGAUAUUGAAAAUAUUUCAUAUUUGUUUCUUCAAAUUUUUUAUUGCUCAUCGUAUUUCAAAUUCCUCAUAUAUAUUUUACAUUUGAUGAUCUCUAUUGACAUAUAUAUCUAGUUAACAAUGUUCAAGAUAAAGAAGAUCAUCAGUUAGAAGAAUUAAAGGACAAUCGAGCCAUUGUUGAUAACAAUCAGGCUCAGAGUCUUACAGGCAAGGAUAUCGAAUCAAUGCGGAGACAAGGGGCAACAGGAGAAGAAAUUGUUGAAGCUCUCAUUGCAAACAGUGCAACAUUUGAAAAGAAAACUCAAUUUGCACAGGAGAAAUACAAGCUUAAAAAACACAAGAAGUAUGCACCCAAAGUGCUUUUGAGACGUCCCUUUGCCCGAAGGUAAUUUACUUGUUUAUAGCAUAAACUUUGUCUUCAGGUGGUGUAUGGAAAUUACAAGUUUGGUUCAAAACUAGCCAACUUGACCUGUUGUUUGUUUCUGUUUAGUUUUUUAUUCUCUCUUUUUGGUUUUAAAAUGUUAGGAAAUUGUUGGUUGCAUUCAGUUUACGUUAUACCACUUUUGAAAAAUAAUUUAAAUUGUAAAUUUAUUUAUUUCCGGAUGUCUUAGGUAAAGAUGCAUAAUAAUUUCAAAUCAAUCUCUUAUUACUUAAAAAUGAUGAUAUGGUUAUAGUAUAAUUCAUAAAUUAUAAUUUGUUUAAAGAAUUCAAUCGAUUUUUAACCUUAUAUUUAUGUAAUAUUUCAAACUAUGGUCAGUUUUGUUACUUAUUUAGCAUUUUUUAUGGCUUAUUAAAUUCUUAGGGAAAAUACGCAGAAGGUAAUGUUUGGUUAAGUUUUUAAUAUUGAAAUUAUAGAAAAUUCAUUUAGGUUGAAAUAUAACGAUCUAAAUUAGUUUGAUGGUUUUGCCUGUUUUGACUGAUCUUUGGUUCAGUUUGCUUUGUUUAUGUCGUCAGUUUGUUUUUGUUUUGCUCUAAACGGAUCUGCUGAGUUGUGGCCCAAAUCAGAGGGAUCAUUCUUCACAAAAAACUUUAAGCAAGGGGGGAUUUGUAGAGAGUUUCUCCUUUAUAUACUGGGAAGAGAAAAUGUAAAACUUACAUAAACACUCCCGAUGAUAGUCCUUCCAACUUUUUUAGAUUUUUGAUUUCGUCUUUAAUUCAACAUAUAAAGCAAAACCUUAGUUGUAAGAUUCAGUUCUUCUCAGUGGCUCUAUGAAAAGGCACAUCACUGAAUUGCAUUAAGUUCUCUGCAUCGUUCUCUCUCUCACUUUUAGUUAUUAUCUGUAUGUGGUGUGGGCUUUCCUCUGUGGGCCUGUACUUAGCUGUUUAUAUACCUAGUAGUUUCCUCUCUGUUUCAUAAAUUUUAGGUUUUCUUACUAAAUUAGUUGAACUGGUUUUGCAGAUAUGCACUCUUUCAUCUCUCUUUUUUUUACUGCCUCUCCUGUGGGAUGCUUUUUUCUCAUUUUGAAUAGGAUUACUAUCAUUGUAUAAGCUAUAUGAUUGAUCUGUUGUAGAGAGGUCAGACGCUGAUUAACAGAUGUUACAUGUGCAAAGAGCAAGAGGAAUCUUGCUGCCACCUGCUGCUGUUUUGCCUGGCUAUCCAAUCUUUGUGGUCAAUGAUCUAUGGCCUCCUGGGGGUGUGCUAGGUGAGGGCUGGGUCAAUUAAAGAGGAGAUUUGGGCGUGGAAUGAGAUGAGCAGAAAAUAGAAACAUAUUAAUUUAAUUCCUAUAACUAUUUUUUAGGUUAUUUGGAAUGAGAGGAAUAGGAGAACUUUUGAAGAUAUUGAGAGUGACAUGGUUAAGAUUAGAGAUAGGUGGUUUCAUUUGUUUGGGUCUCUUUUAGUGA